rnacentral:lncRNA from 1 species
GGAGCAGAAGAGACACGUGUCAUCUCUGAGUUGAGGCUGUUAAGAGCUGGUGCAACUUUCCAUUCUUCUCUUCCCCUCUAGCGGUGACCUGAGAAGCUACAUAUUGACAUGGCGCUACCACGGGUGGAGGAGCCUGCAUUGCUGAAUCACAGGAUGAAGGCGAAUCCCUGCCAGCCUCCAUCCAUCUCUGGGGUGCUUAGCAGAAUCCUCAGCUCACAAGAUGAAUAAAUGCAGACUAAAUGAUGCAAAAAUAAUCUUCACACACAACCAUCAACACACGGAAAGACAGCAGGACGGCCAGAUCCCAAGCUAACAAACAGGGGAAGAUGAUGUUUCAAAUGAUCAUCUGAAUGCUGGGUUUCCACCUUCC